UACAGAGGUCUCAAGCGUUGUUCGGAUUCAUUGGGCGUAAAGGGUGUGUAGGCUGGCGCCGUAAGUCGGGUGUGAAAUUCGAUGCUUAACUCCGAAACUGCAUUCGAUACUGCGGUGCUUGAGGACUGGAGAGGAGACUGGAAUUCAUGGUGUAGCAGUGAAAUGCGUAGAGAUCAUGAGGAAGACCAGUGGCGAAGGCGGGUCUCUGGACAGUUCCUGACAGCUGAGACACGAAGGCCAGGGGAGCAAACGGG
rnacentral:rRNA from 1 species